rnacentral:lncRNA from 10 species
CAGAUAGUUUAGAACAAAGGCUUAAAAGUCACAGAGAAUGAAGUAGAUCUUUGGAGCUGGGAGUCACUGAGCAAGUUGUUACAAGGCUGCAAGUAUCUUCCACAUCACUGAGCAAGUGGAUGGAGAGAGGAAAGACACCUGGUGAAUCCCGGUGAUAAGACUGAUGAUUGGAAAUAAAAUUUGCCAUGAAAUGGGACAAGCAUACUCCAGUAUGACUGCAUCACAAUUAAUUGCAUCUGCAAUGACCUUAUUCCCAAAUAAAGUCACAUUCUGAGGUGACGUGAAUUUUGGAAUGACACUAUCCAGACCACACACCUAUAUUCAUUCAUAUUUGGAAACUCCAUUUCGGGUUAUGAAACACGUGCCUCACUUGUUGCAUGCCCUUUGCAGACAGGGUGAUGCAAAGUGUGACACAGUGUGACCUGGGUUCCAGUCAUUGUCCUGCCUUGUGCUAGAUGACCCUGGGCAAUCUAAUUCAUCUUUCUAGGCCUCAUCCAAAUAAUGAAGUCAGGAGAGGUGGUCUCUAAGAACCCUUGGAAUUUAAUUAUUCACAAGCUUUUGGGACUCAAUUAAACAUUUAGGGGAAAUGUAGGAAUGAGCCAUCAUGAAACGAUGCCAGAGGCUGGAGAGCCUGGAUACAUUGACACAAUUGGGGGAUGAAUGAUUUAUUACAAUUCAAUUCCAGGGCAGCCCAGUCUACAGCUCCCCAGGAAGCAUCUCUAAAGGUGCUACUUGUUAAUCAUCACCAUACGAAAGGCGGGGGGGAUUGCUUUCAUCUGUGGCUUUUAUGAGACCAUCCAGCUAUUCUUCAGAGCCAGUUUCUCAUCAAAAAUGGGGUUUAUUACUACAAAAGUUAAAGACCUUAGUACACAUUUUGGUAAACAUAGAUUGAUAUCCCCUAGCAGGAAUCAAGAGAACAGAUUUCAUUUACUGAAAGGUUACCAGGCAUUGUGCUAAGGGCUCUACAUGGCUUCUUUCCAUUUAAUCCCCCAAACAACUCUAUGAAGUCGUGUGCCAGGUAAUCAAUGUAUCCUUCUCAGGUCCAAAUUCACCCUUCAGUACCUGCUCUGCCAUAAUGACGUGUAAAGCAUUUGUCCUUUACAUUGAGCGCCACGAUAAGCUUUGUCAGUAGAGGGCGCUGGAGAGACAUCACGGGAGGACGCCGCUUCUCUUCCUGGUUCUGGCCCGCUCUUUUGCUUGGUUUGCUCCACCUGCUUUGUAAAGCGUCCUCCUGUGCAUAUGUGAGGACAUCCAGUGGCAUUCUGCUCCACCCAGGCUCCCAGAGUGCCCAGUCCCUCAGCCACUUUGCAGCCCUGCUGGGGGCCCAGUGACCACCUUGCUGUGGCCUUCCUGUUGCAAAUGCCAGUGCACCCCAGGGCUCCCCAACACGCUCCCGGCCUACCCUCCAGCCUCGGUUUGCCUGCCUCCCUGGGGAGGGCUGUUUUCCACCGCCCUACUAACAUCAACACCACGAAUCCUAGGCCAAUUGUCGCCCUGCCAGGAAGCAGAUUCUCAGCAUCCUGACUCCAUCUGCCCACUCACCUUGGCUCACCUGGACCUGGGAGGGCUGUUUCCUGCUACCAGGAAGCCCACAGACUUCACCAUCCAGUGGGUGGCACCAUGCCUUCUCCAACCUAGUCCAAACCCCAGCCUCGGGGAAGGCCUCCCCCUUCCAAGUUUGUCCUUUCUUGGGCACUUUCCCUCCACCCUGGAGGACCCUUAGAGUUCCCUUCACAUCUUCAUGGAUACUCACCUAUCAUCAUUUCAUACUUCUUUAGAUUAAAACAAUCCCUGUUCAAAUUGCUGUGUGGUUUCUGUCUCCUGAUUGGAUGCAGACAGAUACAAGUAGGUACUAUUAUUUCCAUUUUAAAGAUGAGCGAAUGAGAUUUAAAGAGGCCAAAUGGCUUAGUGAGAAUCAGAUGGGAAAUGUGGCAGAGCUGGACACAAACCCCAGGAUGGUCUGGCUCUGAAGCCUUUGAUUUGCACCUCUCUGUACAUAAACCAGGAGUUAGUGGACAGAUACCACAUAAGAAAGAGGGGUGAUCCAGCCUUCUCCCUCCCCUCUUUUCCUAUGCUUAUGUGUCCUGGGUGUUUCAGAUGAAAAUAAGGGCAAAAAAUGCAAAAAUGGGCCGGCGCAGUGGCUCAUAGCCUAUUAUUAUCCCCAUUUUACAGGUUCAGAGAGAUUAGAGCAUGAUGAUAAGAAAGCCACACCAUGUGUCCUCUCCCCAGAUGGGUUACUGACCUUACAAAUAUGCUCCAAAUGGGGUCCAGUAGGAGAAAUGCAGGUAGAUCCCUGAUUGACAUUGUUCAAGUCAGCAUCACCCUCAUUAGCGGCAAAUGAGGAUAAGCAGUAAUAAGUAGUCAGGCAGGUGCUUGGAGCCAAAGGCAGGAGGGAAAAGGACAUUAAUUAGCAAAGCCAGGCACUUUAUGCAGGUGGUCUCAUUUAAUCCUUAGAGCAAUGCUAUACAUUGGGAUUAUUCCCAUUAUACAGAUAAAGAAAAUGAGGUUCAGAGAGGUUAAGUGACUUGUUCACUUACACUUCCCACCACCGGUCAGCAGCCAACCUGAGAUUGCAGUGUAUUUUGUUUGACCUCUUUCAUCACACUGCAUUGGGACAAUCCAUUGUUUGCGGCCAGGGAUUUCAGGGUCUGAGCAACCAUACAUACAUUUAUUGAGGCCAAGACCAUGUCAACUGACAGUGAAAUAACUGUUCAAUUCAGACAAAGGGAAGGUGGGGAAAGGUCUUUAAAAAGUUAGUCCUUUUCUUUGAGAUUGGCUAAGCUGAGAUCCCCUGGGUCUACGCCCAGCCUCUGCCCCAGCCCCUCCAGGACAAGUGCUGUCCUGCCUCUGAGAGAAGAAACCAAGGACCUGCUAAUCAUCUCCAUGGGAACUGACCCAGGGGUUGGACCUCAAGGAGGCUUCAGAAUAGGCCAGUUGGAGGAAGAACAGGAACAGGCUGUGAGGCAGAAACAAGGAACAAACCUAGCCAUCCUCAAAGAACAAGAAAAAGUCACAUUUUUUUUCUAUUUCUCUUUUGACCCUAUCUUUGAAGACUACAUGCUUAAGAAGAACCACUCCG